ACCCAUGCCCCAGCCCACUGUUCAGGAGCAGCAGCUACGUCAUCACUAUAGUAUGUCUGUUCUGGAAAAGUCCGUUGUACUUUUCAAGACUGAUUUUUAGCUCUCAGAUUCUGUGAGCUAUCUAAUAUUCUAAACAUCACCAAGUGUGCUGGACAGUUUUUUGUCGAUUUGACACAAGCUAAAGUCAUCUGAGAGAAGGGAAUCUCAAGUGAGAAAAUGUCUCUAUAAAAUGCCUCUUAUCAAUAAGAAAAGCCUAUAGGGUAUUUCCUUAGUGAUUGCUGGGAGGGCCCAGCCCAUUGUGGGUGGGGUCGUUCCUGGGUCAGUGGUCCCUGGUUCUGUAAGAAGACAGUCUUAACAAUCCUGGGAGAGCAAGCCAGUAAGCAGCACCCCUGUAUGGUCUGUGUAUCAGCUCUUGCCUUCAUGUUCUGGUCCUGUGUGAUUUCUGCCCUUCCUGCUUUUAAGGACACACUGUUAUACAGAACUGUGAGUGAGAUUAACCCUCUCUUCCCCAAGCUGCUUUUGCUCAUGGUGUUCCAGCACGACAAUAGGAACACUAAAGACAGCUUGUCAUUUAAAGGACUUAAAAGCUUUAAAGGAUCCCAAAUAAUAAAAGUACUUUAGACAAAUGCAA
rnacentral:lncRNA from 1 species